rnacentral:miRNA from 1 species
CUAAAGAUUGUCCAAAAGGAA